UGUCUCUGACUGGGUAGAGUUACACCUGGUUUGGUGGUACUUGUCUCAUAUCGACAGGGACAAAGGAACUCCUUGUUUAUCCUAGCUUGGCUUUUGGUCUGUGCCUGUGCCUGUGCCUGGUUCAUGUCCUGACACAUAG
rnacentral:snoRNA from 1 species